AUUAGCUCAGUUGGUCAGAGCAUGGUGCUAAUAACACCGAGGUUGUGGGUUAGAUUCCUGUAU
rnacentral:tRNA from 1 species